UACCGGCAGCACAAGUGGUUUCCACGAUUAUUGGGCUUAAAGCGUCAGUAGCUGGCUGGAACCGUCUUAUGUGAAAUAUCCGUGCUUAACGCGGAUGCGUGCAUAAGAUACCUUCCGGCUAGGGAGUGGGCGAGGUGUGGAGUACUUAUGGGGUAGGGGUAAAAUCCUGUAAUCCUAUAAGGACUACCGGUGGCGAAGGCGCCACACCAGAACACAUCCGACAGUGAGUGACGAAGGCUAGGAGAACGAAUCGGAUUAGAUACCCGAGUAGCCCUAGCCGUAAAUUAUGUAGACUCUGGUGUUGCACUUUCUAAAUGAAUGUGCAGUACCGUAGGGAAACUGAUAAGUCUACCGCCUGGGGAGUACGGCCGCAAGGUUGAAACUUAAAGCAAUUGGCGGGGGAGCACACCAGGGGUGGAUGCUACGGUUUAAUUGAAUCCAACGUCCGAAACAUUACCGGGAGCGACGGCAGAAUGAAGCUCAGACUAAAGAUCUUAGCCAACAAGCCGAGAGGUGGUGCAUGGCGAUCGUCAGUUCGUGGCGCGAGCUGUCAGGUUAAGUCCUGUAACGAACGAGACCUUCAUUGACAGUUGCAACAGGUGCAGCGAUGCACUUGGCACUCUGUUAAGACUGCCUGCGUUUAAGCAGGAGGAAGGAGAAGGCAACGGUACGUCAGUAUGCCCCGAAUCUCCCGGGCUACACGCGGCAUACAGAGGUUGGCACAAUGGGUUGCUACACAGAGAUGUGACGCUAAUCCCCUAAAACCAACCAAAGUUCGGAUUGAGGGCUGAAACUCGCCCUCAUGAAGCUGGAAUCCCUAGUAAUCGCAUGUCACUAUCGUGCGGUGAAUAGGUCCCCGCUCCU
rnacentral:rRNA from 1 species